rnacentral:rRNA from 1 species
UACGAAGGGUGCAAGCGUUACUCGGAAUUACUGGGCGUAAAGCGUGCGUAGGCGGUUUGUUAAGUCUGUCGUGAAAGCCCCGGGCUCAACCUGGGAAUGGCGAUGGAUACUGGCGAGCUAGAGUACGGUAGAGGAGAGUGGAAUUCCCGGUGUAGCAGUGAAAUGCGUAGAGAUCGGGAGGAACAUCAGUUGCGGAAGGCGGCUCUCUGGACCAGUACUGACGCUGAGGCACGAAAGCGUGGGGAGCAAACAGG